rnacentral:rRNA from 1 species
AAACUCCGCAAUACGCGCAAGCGUGACGGGGGAACCCCAAGUGCCUCAUCUUUUUGGUGAGGCUUUUUCAGAGUGUAAACAGCUCUGAGAAUAAAAGCGGGGUAAGACCGGUGCCAGCCGCCGCGGUAACACCGGCCGCUUGAGUGGUGACCGCUAUUAUUGGGCCUAAAGCGUCCGUAGCCUGUUCGGUAAGUCCUUGGGUAAAUCCUGCCGUUUAACGGUAGGAAUUCUGGGGAUACUGCCGGACUCGGGGUCGAGAGAAGUCGGAGGUACUCCGGGGGUAGCGGUGAAAUGCUGUAAUCCUCGGGGGACCACCAGUGGCGAAGGCGUCCGACUAGAGCGGGCCCGACGGUGAGGGACGAAAGCCAGGGGAGCGAACGGG